UAAGAAGCACCGGCUAACUACGUGCCAGCAGCCGCGGUAAUACGUAGGGUGCGAGCGUUAAUCGGAAUUACUGGGCGUAAAGCGUGCGCAGGGCGGUUUGGUAAGUCAGAUGUGAAAUCCCCCGGGGCUCAACCUGGGGAACUGCAUUUGAGACUGCCAAGCUGGAGUUUGGCAGAGGGGGGUGGAAUUCCACGUGUAGCAGUGAAAUGCGUAGAGAUGUGGAGGAACACCGAUGGCGAAGGCAGCCCCCUGGGCCAAUACUGACGCUCAUGCACGAAAGCGUGGGGAGCAAACAGGAUUAGAUACCCUGGUAGUCCACGCCCUAAACGAUGUCAACUAGGUGUUGGGAGGGUUAAACCUUUUAGUGCCGUAGCUAACGCGUGAAGUUGACCGCCUGGGGAGUACGGCCGCAAGGCUAAAACUCAAAGGUAAUUGUACGGGGACCCGCUACAAGCGGUGGAUGAUGUGGUAUUAAUUCGAUGCUAAC
rnacentral:rRNA from 1 species